AGACCCGAAACCCGGUGAUCUAGCCAUGGGCAGGUUGAAGGUUGGGUAACACUAACUGGAGGACCGAACCGACUAAUGUUGAAAAAUUAGCGGAUGACUUGUGGCUGGGGGUGAAAGGCCAAUCAAACCGGGAGAUAGCUGGUUCUCCCCGAAAGCUAUUUAGGUAGCGCCUCGUGAAUUCAUCUCCGGGGGUAGAGCACUGUUUCGGCAAGGGGGUCAUCCCGACUUACCAACCCGAUGCAAACUGCGAAUACCGGAGAAUGUUAUCACGGGAGACACACGGCGGGUGCUAACGUCCGUCGUGAAGAGGGAAACAACCCAGACCGCCAGCUAAGGUCCCAAAGUCAUGGUUAAGUGGGAAACGAUGUGGGAAGGCCCAGACAGCCAGGAUGUUGGCUUAGAAGCAGCCAUCAUUUAAAGAAAGCGUAAUAGCUCACUGGUCGAGUCGGCCUGCGCGGAAGAUGUAACGGGGCUAAACCAUGCACCGAAGCUGCGGCAGCGACACUGUGUGUUGUUGGGUAGGGGAGCGUUCUGUAAGCCUGUGAAGGUGUGCUGUGAGGCAUGCUGGAGGUAUCAGAAGUGCGAAUGCUGACAUAAGUAACGAUAAAGCGGGUGAAAAGCCCGCUCGCCGGAAGACCAAGGGUUCCUGUCCAACGUUAAUCGGGGCAGGGUGAGUCGACCCCUAAGGCGAGGCCGAAAGGCGUAGUCGAUGGGAAACAGGUUAAUAUUCCUGUACUUGGUGUUACUGCGAAGGGGGGACGGAGAAGGCUAUGUUGGCCGGGCGACGGUUGUCCCGGUUUAAGCGUGUAGGCUGGUUUUCCAGGCAAAUCCGGAAAAUCAAGGCUGAGGCGUGAUGACGAGGCACUACGGUGCUGAAGCAACAAAUGCCCUGCUUCCAGGAAAAGCCUCUAAGCAUCAGGUAACAUCAAAUCGUACCCCAAACCGACACAGGUGGUCAGGUAGAGAAUACCAAGGCGCUUGAGAGAACUCGGGUGAAGGAACUAGGCAAAAUGGUGCCGUAACUUCGGGAGAAGGCACGCUGA
rnacentral:rRNA from 1 species